UACGUAGGGUGCGAGCGUUGUUCGGAUUCAUUGGGCGUAAAGCGCACGUAGGCGGCUCUUUAAGUCGGGGGUGAAAUCCUGGAGCUCAACUCCAGAACUGCCUUCGAUACUGUAGAGCUCGAGUCCGGGAGAGGUGAGUGGAACUGCGAGUGUAGAGGUGAAAUUCGUAGAUAUUCGCAAGAACACCAGUGGCGAAGGCGGCUCACUGGCCCGGUACUGACGCUGAGGUGCGAAAGCGUGGGGGGCAAACAGG
rnacentral:rRNA from 1 species